GAUCAUGCUAGUGCACAGGAGGGGGAAGGGAAAAAAGGGAGCGAGAGACACACGGUAAUUCCGGCGCAUGCUAACAUGCUACAUAACAGAGAAGGAGAGAUGGCCGAUUACAAUCCUAAGAGAACAAGGUCUUAGGAACAAAAGUUGAAGAAGAAGGGCUAUGAUCAGGCGAGGGGGAAGACUUUAAUGGUGAGGCUUUCCAAUGGUGGAGACUGAAUGGUCAGACUGCGAAAGUAAUUCAGCCCUGGACUUAUCCGCUGGGACUGGCCUGAACCUCGAAUGAGAGGCACACAGAGAUGGCCAGUAAAGAGACUGAUGGACGAUUGUCCACUUCCACGCUGGAUAAGACUCUCCGGUCUAUGAAUUUAGGGCGGCGCUUCUGAAAGAGCAUAGAGUGAAGGGGUGUAUGUUUUGCUGUGAACCUCCACCCGAGCACGGCAGCGAGGUCGGAGGUCAAUCUCGGCAAGUGGUUCCAGCUUCCCAUACUUGGUUACCAGGGAAUGAUAUCUGAGGAGGUAAAGAGCAGGUAUCUCCCGAGUGAGCAGCAGCACAGUAUCCCAGGACACUUGAGUGUUGUUGAGGACGAGGCGUCGGACCCGGGAGAAGGCUUCGGCACACCGCGGUUCGAGGGUCAUUCCUGCCAGGGGGUUGGAGCUUAGGUUCAGGAAAUCCAGCUCACCUUUCAUAGGGGAACCUUGAGGACCUGCGGUGGGCACAACCACCACCCCCAUACCAGGUCCUCUGCGGUAUGGGAAGUUCUCUGGGCUGU